rnacentral:rRNA from 1 species
CCUACGGGGGUCAGCAGUGGGGGAUAUUGGACAAUGGGGGGAACCCUGAUCCAGCGACGCCGCGUGAGUGAAGAAGUAUUUCGGUAUAUAAAGCUCUGUCAGCAGGGAAGAAAGAAAUGACGGUACCUGACCAAGAAGCCCCGGCUAACUACGUGCCAGCAGCCGCGGUAAUACGUAGGGGGCAAGCGUUAUCCGGAAUUACUGGGUGUAAAGGGAGAGUAGACGGUUAAGUAAGUCUGGAGUGAAAGGCCGGGGCACAACCCCGGGACUGCUCUGGAAACUAUUGAACUUGAGUGCAGGAGAGGUAAGCGGAAUUCCUAGUGUAGCGGUGAAAUGCGUAGAUAUUAGGAGGAACACCAGUGGCGAAGGCGGCUUACUGGACUGUAACUGACGUUGAGGCUCGAAAGCGUGGGGAGCAAACAGGAUUAGAUACCCCGGUAGUC